GGUGCGUAGGCGGAUAUUUAAGUCAGAUGUGAAAACCCCGGGCUUAACUUGGGGACUGCAUUUGAAACUGGAUAUCUAGAGUGCAGGAGAGGAAAGCGGAAUUCCUAGUGUAGCGGUGAAAUGCGUAGAGAUUAGGAAGAACACCAGUGGCGAAGGCGGCUUUCUGGACUGUAACUGACGCUGAGGCACGAAAGCGUGGGUAGCAAACAGGAUUAGAUACCCUGGUAGUCCACGCCGUAAACGAUGAGUACUAGGUGUAGGAGGUAUCGACCCCUUCUGUGCCGCAGUAAACACAAUAAGUACUCCGCCUGGGAAGUACGAUCGCAAGAUUAAAACUCAAAGGAAUUGACGGGGGCCCGCACAAGCAGCGGAGCAUGUGGUUUAAUUCGAAGCAACGCGAAGAACCUUACCUGGACUUGACAUCCCCUGAAUAGCCUAGAGAUAGGCGAAGCCCUUCGGGGCAGGGAGACAGGUGGUGCAUGGUUGUCGUCAGCUCGUGUCGUGAGAUGUUAGGUUAAGUCCUGCAACGAGCGCAACCCCUAUUGUUAGUUGCUAACAUUAAGUUGAGCACUCUAAUAAGACUGCCCGGGUUAACCGGGAGGAAGGUGGGGAUGACGUCAAAUCAUCAUGCCCCUUAUGUCCAGGGCCACACACGUGCUACAAUGGUGAGUACAACAAGAAGCGAACCCGCGAGGGGGAGCAAAACUUAUAAAACUCAUCCCAGUUCGGAUUGUAGGCUGAAACUCGCCUACAUGAAGCUGGAGUUGCUAGUAAUCGCGAAUCAGCAUGUCGCGGUGAAUACGUUCCCGGGCCUUGUACACACCGCCCGUCACACCAUGAGAGCUGGCAACACCCGAAGUCCGUGAGAUAACCUUUAUGGAGUCAGC
rnacentral:rRNA from 1 species